UACGGAGGGGGCAAGCGUUAUUCGGAAUUAUUGGGCGUAAAGGGCGCGUAGGCGGCUAGAUGUGUCAAAGGUGAAAUCCCUCGGCUCAACUGAGGAACUUCCUUUGAAACUGUCUGGCUUGAGGCCGGGAGAGGGUAGCGGAAUUCCCAGUGUAGCGGUGAAAUGCGUAGAUAUUGGGAGGAACACCAGUGGCGAAGGCGGCUACCUGGACCGGUUCUGACGCUGAGGCGCGAAAGCGUGGGUAGCAAACAGG
rnacentral:rRNA from 1 species